rnacentral:rRNA from 1 species
UGCGCAGGCGGGUUAUUAAGUCAGUGGUGAAAUCUCUCGGCUCAACCGAGAAACUGCCAUUGAAACUGAUAAUCUUGAGUAUAGUUGUAGUAGGCGGAAUAUAGCAUGUAGCGGUGAAAUGCUUAGAUAUGCUAUAGAACACCGAUCGCGAAGGCAGCUUACUAAACUAUUACUGACGCUCAUGCACGAAAGCGUGGGGACUAACAGGAUUAGAUACCCUGGUAGUCC